CUUCCAGUAGCACCUUAGAGACCAACUAAGUUUGUUAUUGGUAUGAGCUUUCAUGUGCAUGCACAUUAACUUAUUUGGUCUCUAAGGUGCUACUGGAAG